rnacentral:rRNA from 1 species
UACAGAGGUCUCGAGCGUUGUUCGGAUUCAUUGGGCGUAAAGGGUGCGUAGGUGGCGCUGUAAGUCAGGUGUGAAAUUUCGGAGCUUAACUCCGAAACUGCAUUUGAUACUGCGGUGCUUGAGGGACUGGAGAGGAGACUGGAAUUUAACGGUGUAGCAGUGAAAUGCGUAGAGAUCGUAAGGAAGACCAGUGGCGAAGGCGGGUCUCUGGGCCGAUACUGACGCU